AAUAGAUACCCGGUAGUCCACGCCGUAAACGAUGAGUGCUAAGUGUUAGAGGGUUUCCGCCCUUUAGUGCUGCAGCAAACGCAUUAAGCACUCCGCCUGGGGAGUACGGUCGCAAGACUGAAACUCAAAGGAAUUGACGGGGGCCCGCACAAGCGGUGGAGCAUGUGGUUUAAUUCGAAGCAACGCGAAGAACCUUACCAGGUCUUGACAUCCUUAUGACUUCUCUAGAGAUAGAGCUUUCCCUUCGGGGACAUAAGUGACAGGUGGUGCAUGGUUGUCGUCAGCUCGUGUCGUGAGAUGUUGGGUUAAGUCCCGCAACGAGCGCAACCCUUGAUCUUAGUUGCCAGCAUUCAGUUGGGCACUCUAAGGUGACUGCCGGUGACAAACCGGAGGAAGGUGGGGAUGACGUCAAAUCAUCAUGCCCCUUAUGACCUGGGCUACACACGUGCUACAAUGGAUGGUACAAAGGGUAGCGAGACCGCGAGGUUUAGCCAAUCCCAUAAAACCAUUCUCAGUUCGGAUUGCAGG
rnacentral:rRNA from 1 species